AUACCACCCAGAACGCACCCGAUCUCGUCUGAUCUCAGAAGCUAAGCAGGGUCGGGCCCGGUUACUACUUGGAUGGGAGACCGCCUGGGAAUACCGGGUG
rnacentral:rRNA from 1 species